CAAGAUUGCCUUUAUGGAGGAGAGAAAGCUAAAGGUAGGUUCCAGGUGAGCUCUAAGCUCAGGGUUUUGGAGUCCGGGGCACACCCAUUCUUCCUUCUCUCUUCAUUUUCCUACCAAUGUUGAGACUGGAGCUCAGUUGCCAAAGGAACCAGAAAAGGAAGAAAUUGACGACGACUCUGGGGCUUGGGCCAGCAGAUACGGGACACAGGUGGCAGACUAAAAAAAAAUUAUUAUUAUUAUUAUUAUUUUUUUAAAAAAACAGGGCCUCACUAUGUAGUCCUGACUUGGAACUUACAGAGAGCUACUGGCCACACCUCUGGACUGCUGGGGUCAAAGGUCUACAUUAUUACAUCUGGCUCAUUUAAUUUUUUAAAGUUUAUUUUAUCUUAUGUGUAUGAAUAUUUUGCCUGUAUAUAUGUCUGUGCACUAAAUGCAUACAUUCCUAGGAAGACCAGAAGAGGGUGUUGGAUCCCCUGGGACUGGAGUUAUAGAUGGUUGUGAAUGGAUCAUCAAGUGGUUCUGAGAACUGAACCCUGCUGUUCUCC
rnacentral:lncRNA from 1 species